rnacentral:rRNA from 1 species
AGAAUCAACGCUGGCGGCGUGCCUAACACAUGCAAGUCGAACGAGAAAGGGGUAGCAAUACCCUGAGUAAAGUGGCGCACAGGUGAGUAACACGUGACUAACCUACCCUGGAGUGGGGGAUAACUGAGGGAACCUUAGCUAAUACCGCAUAAUACCUACGGGUCAAAGGAGCAAUUCGCUUUGGGAGGGGGUCGCGGCCGAUUAGUUAGUUGGCGGGGUAAUGGCCCACCAAGACGAUGAUCGGUAUCCGGCCUGAGAGGGCGCACGGACACACUGGAACUGAAACACGGUCCAGACUCCUACGGGAGGCAGCAGUGGGGAAUUUUGCGCAAUGGGGGAACCCUGACGCAGCAACGCCGCGUGGAGGAUGAAGUACUUCGGUACGUAAACUCCUUUCGAUCGGGACGAUUAUGACGGUACCGAGAGAAGAAGCCCCGGCUAACUUCGCGCCAGCAGCCGC